rnacentral:rRNA from 1 species
GAUGAACGCUGGCGGCGUGCCUAAUACAUGCAAGUCGAGCGAACGGACGAGAAGCUUGCUUCUCUGAUGUUAGCGGCGGACGGGUGAGUAACACGUGGAUAACCUACCUAUAAGACUGGGAUAACUUCGGGAAACCGUAGCUAAUACCGGAUAAUAUUUUGAACCGCAUGGUUCAAAAGUGAAAGACGGUCUUGCUGUCACUUAUAGAUGGAUCCGCGCUGCAUUAGCUAGUUGGUAAGGUAACGGCUUACCAAGGCAACGAUGCAUAGCCGACCUGAGAGGGUGAUCGGCCACACUGGAACUGAGACACGGUCCAGACUCCUACGGGAGGCAGCAGUAGGGAAUCUUCCGCAAUGGGCGAAAGCCUGACGGAGCAACGCCGCGUGAGUGAUGAAGGUCUUCGGAUCGUAAAACUCUGUUAUUAGGGAAGAACAUAUGUGUAAGUAACUGUGCACAUCUUGACGGUACCUAAGCAGAAAGCCACGGCUAACGACGGG